rnacentral:misc_RNA from 1 species
GAUGAAGAACGCAGCGAAAUGCGAUAAAUAAUGUGAAUUGCAGAAUUCAGUGAAUCAUCGAGUCUUUGAACGCACAUUGCGCCCCCUGGUAUUCCGGGGGGCAUGCCUGUCCGAGCGUCAUUGCUGCCCUCAAGCACGGCUUGUGUGUUGGGCCCCCGUCCCCCCCUCCCGGGGGACGGGCCCGAAAGGCAGCGGCGGCACCGCGUCCGGUCCUCGAGCGUAUGGGGCUUUGUCACCCGCUCUGUAGGCCCGGCCGGCGCUUGCCGACACAUCAAUCUUUUUUCCAGGUUGACCUCGGAUCAGGUAGGGAUACCCGCUGAACUUAAGCAUAUCAAUAAGCGGAGGA